AUAGCGAUUUCUGGCCGCGCCGGGGCCGGGCCGCUGCUGCUGCCGUUUGCUGCUGCUGCUGUCGCUUGCUGCCGCGGCGGGGCCGCUCGCGAACCUGCGGCGGGGACGCGCGAGCCGCCGACCCGGAAGCGGCGUGUGUGCACCGCAGGCUCCCGCCGCCAGCUCGCCCGCCCGCCCGUCGGGCCGCCAGGUACGUGCAGGGCCGGCCGGGAGCCUGCUGCGGCGUCGCCGCCCUGGUUCACCGGGCUGCAGGGAGGGAGCGAGCGAGCGCCUGGGGCGCUGUGCACUGGGAGGCUGGGGCGCGGGGUCCGAGUGGUUGUCCCCGGGCACACCCCUCUUGCAGGCCAGGUGAGCGCUGCAGGGCCUGACCCGGGCUCCGCGCUGCCCUCCGCUAACUUCAUUUUGGGGGUGGGGGUGGGGGUUCCAGGCCAGGAGGCUGAAUUGAGGAACCAAAAGGGCGAAUAGACUCGCACCAGCCUGACUUCCUUCUGCUCCGACCCCCGCCGGCGUUUAAACAGCACUUCCUCUUUGCCCGUUAUGUUUUCAUCAUCAUCGGCAUCAUCAUCAUCAUUAUCAGUUUUUUUUUUUUUUUUUUUUUUGAAAAAUGGAAGUUUAGUGUUCAGAGGUGGAGGCAUUUGGAGCCCACAGGGCUUUCUGGGGGUCGUGCACACACAGUAGGUCUGGAAGGAAUCCGUGUGUCCUCUGAAUGUGGGUCUUGUGUCUGGGGUGGGAGGAAAGAGGAACCCGGACUUCCUUUGCAAGCAGAGCCCUAGGGGGUUGUCUCAGAUCCCCACCCUGCCGCUAGAAAUGGAGGGGUGGGGGAGGGCUUGAGUGUGAAGGUGGCGCAGCAGGGAGAGUCACGUGGCUGUGCACCUCUGUCUAAUUCUUGGUCCUACCACUCACAAGCUUUGUGACCUUGGCCAAGUUGUCUGCAUUCUCUGGGUCUUUCGGCUCCUUGUGUCUGUAAAAUGGGCCGCUCUCAGUUCUGGCCUGCAGUAAAUGGGACUAGGUUUCCUGGCCUUGAGGUUCAGGGUGGGAAUGUCACCUCCCCUUUAAUGCCUUCAUCCCUUAAGACACGUGCCGGGCGGGAGCACAGGGAGGCUUCCUAUAGAUAGUUGUGAAAUGAAUUGGUGGCUGGUAAAUUUUGAGAAGUGAGCCCGUAGGCUUCCUCAUUUUUGCCUUCUUUGCCCUUAACUUCCACCCCAUCAUCACCAGAGCCAUGUUUUGUUACUUCAGCCUCCAGAAAUCCGCGGAUCCCUGGAGGAAAUAGGGACUCCCUCUGAGGAAGCUUCCACUCUGAUUUUGAUUGAGACUCUCCCUAUUCUUGGAGGGUUGUAUUCAGUGUGG
rnacentral:lncRNA from 1 species